rnacentral:rRNA from 1 species
GUCGAGAAUAAUUCACAAUGGACGAAAGUCUGAUGGUGCAACGCCGCGUGGAGGAUGAAGGUCUUCGGAUUGUAAACUCCUGUCAUCGGGGAGUAAGACCUGGCGGUAAAUAGCCGACAGGGUUGAUAGUACCCGAAGAGGAAGGGACGGCUAACUUCGUGCCAGCAGCCGCGGUAAUACGAAGGUCCCAAGCGUUGUUCGGAAUCACUGGGCGUAAAGGGAGCGUAGGCGGCGUGGUAAGUCAGAUGUGAAAUCCCGGGGCGCAACCCCGGAACUGCAUCCGAUACUGCCAUGAUUGAGGGUUGGAGAGGUAGCUGGAAUUCUCGGUGUAGCAGUGAAAUGCGUGGAUAUCGAGAGGAACGCUCGUGGCGAAGGCGAGCUACUGGACAACAUCUGACGCUGAGGCUCGAAGGCCAGGGGAGCAAAAGGGAUUAGAAACCCUGGUAGUCC